UCUAUCGAUUUACAAUAUUCCCAAUAAUAUUUGCUUAAAGCCUAGGGCUUUCUCAAACAAAAUCUAAAAAAAAAUGUUCUUCACCCCUCCAUAGCCAAAUGUCCUUUGGUGAAUGUUACCCACGUUAUACUCAACAAGUUUAUUGGCUUUGAUUAUGUCGCAUUGUUAAGAGUUAAGUUGUGUGUUAAAUGUCGACAUUAUCCUGUUUAUCCUUAUCUACUCAUCGUCAUGCUGUCGAAUCAGCUAGCGAUGAUAAAUGUGUAUGGGGACCUCUUGUGUGGUAAUGUGCUUGAAUGUGAGCUUUGACUUUAGAUCCUUUGGUUCAUUGGUGGCAAAAAGAGUUUAUGGAUUAAAUCAUUACAAUUUGGUGUAAAUGAUGAUGCAGGUUGUUGAUGCCAUUUACCACUUGGGGUAUGAAAGCCUUUAAGAGGAGGAGAUACCCAUUAAACGAUUACAUGGAAAUGGUUCAAGUGAUGCAGGGACUUUCCUUACCUAAUAAAUGCCAUAUACCAUCAAUCUGGUGGAACAAUCCUAAUAUUGAAAUUAAAGAUUUCCGGAGUAAUUAAAAAUGAGGAUUUGCCUGCAUCCUGGAAAAGACCCGAGAAGGACAAUUCAACAACUACCAUCUUCUUGUUGAAUACAAAGCCGGUUUCGAUAGAGGAUGACAAUUGCUUUAACACGUUCCUCAGUAAGAAUAGGAAAGAACCAUUCUUGGCAGGGUUAUUGGAAGUUAAAACAAAAUAACUCAAGCGUUUCCGCCAAAUCGGAUAUGAAUGACACCCUCUAGAGGCUCAAGAAGUCAAGAUCCGAGAUCGGUUUAUGUAGCAGCUAUAUCAGGUUAUGGACCGAUUUGGAUCAUUCUUGGCACAGUUAUUGGAAAUCAGAACAGAACAACUCAUGCUAAAAUUCAGCCAAAUCCGAUAAGAAUUGCACACUCUGGAGGCGCAAGAAGUCAAGAUUAGAGAUCGGUUUAUA